UAGUUUUGGAGAUCGUGGAUUAUUUCGUUUACGGCGAAAAGGGCCUUAGGGCAAAGCUAU
rnacentral:tRNA from 1 species